rnacentral:rRNA from 1 species
GACGAACGCUGGCGGCGUGCCUAAUACAUGCAAGUCGAGCGGACUGAAUGGGAGCUUGCUCUUGUUCGGUCAGCGGCGGACGGGUGAGUAACACGUGGGCAACCUGCCCGCAAGACCGGGAUAACUCCGGGAAACCGGAGCUAAUACCGGAUAACACCGAAGACCGCAUGGUCUUAGGUUGAAAGGCGGCGCAAGCUGCCACUUGCGGAUGGGCCCGCGGCGCAUUAGCUAGUUGGUGAGGUAACGGCUCACCAAGGCGACGAUGCGUAGCCGGCCUGAGAGGGUGACCGGCCACACUGGGACUGAGACACGGCCCAGACUCCUACGGGAGGCAGCAGUAGGGAAUCUUCCGCAAUGGGCGAAAGCCUGACGGAGCGACGCCGCGUGAGCGAAGAAGGCCUUCGGGUCGUAAAGCUCUGUUGUGAGGGACGAAGGAGCGCCGUUUGAAGAAGGCGGCGCGGUGACGGUACCUCACGAGGAAGCCCCGGCUAACUACGU